AGUGAACGCUGGCGGUAGGCCUAACACAUGCAAGUCGAACGGAAGCACAGUAAGAGUUUGCUCUUACGGGUGGCGAGUGGCGGACGGGUGAGGAAUACAUCGGACUCUACUUUUUCGUGGGGGAUAACGUAGGGAACCUUACGCUAAUACCGCAUACGACCUACGGGUGAAAGCAGGGGAUAUUCGGACCUUGCGCGACUGAAUGAGCCGAUGUCGGAUUAGCUAGUUGGCGGGGUAAAGGCCCACCAAGGCGACGAUCCGUACCUGGUCUGAGAGGAUGAUCGGCCACACUGGAACUGAGAACCGGUCCGAACUCCAACGGGAGCCGGCAGUGGGGAAUAUUGGACAAUGGGCGCAGGCCUGAUCCAGCAAUACCGCGUGGGGGAAGAAGGCCUUCGGGUUGUAAAGCCCUUUUGUUGGGAAAGAAGAGCAGCAGGUUAAUACCCCGCUGUUCUGACGGUACCCAAAGAAUAAGCAACGGCUAACUUCGUG
rnacentral:rRNA from 1 species